ACGAUCGUGAAGCCUUGUUGGUGGACAUCCUCUUGGCUUUGCGGUGAGGGGUCAAAUGCAGAUGUCGUGAGUUGAGAUUGGCUGGAAGGCGUGGAUGGCUCCAGUUGGAGUGAAGGCCACGAUGCAGUCCGUCCUAGUUAAAGAUACGACUCUGGAAGGUUGGCACGAUCGUGAAGCCUUAUUGGUGGACAUCCUUUUGGCUUUGCGGUGAGGGGUCAAAUGCAGAUGUCGUGAGUUGAGAUUGGCUGAAAGGCGUGGAUAGCUCCAGUUGGAGUGAAGGCCACGAUACGGUCAUGAGGCCAAAUGCAAACGUCGCCAGUUAAGGCCGACUGGGUGGUGUAGAUGGGUCCAGUAAGAGUGAAGGCCUCGAGGCAGUCCUAGGAACGCAGCUCUGUAAAGGUGGCACAGUCAUGAAUUCUUGCUGGCGAAUAACCUCUUGACUUUGACCUUUAACUUUGUACCAAAAUAUAAACCAAUUUGUAAAUGUGAACACCAUGUAGCAUUUUAAUUGUCACUUUACUCUCAUUUGUCUUUGCGAUUCUACAUGAUCUUCGCAUGCUUUUACUGUAUGUAUCAAUACAUACAAAUUGUAAUACUAUAUUAUUUUUAAAAAGAGUAACCAUGGAGUUUCUUGCCCGUUCUUCUCCAUAGGAAGCUACUUUUGGAAUGGGCAACUAGAAUCAAACUUAGUUAUAAUUUUGACGUCCAUAAGUGCUUGUAAAGGCCUAAAUGAAAUAAAUGAUUUGACUUUGACUUUGAGAAGUUUGAGGACAAACUUAGUGGUCAGAAUGGCCGAAUGUUAGACUAAUAUUAUCCUGUGUUGUUCUGUAUGUUAUAUUCUCUUUUCAUACAUUAAGGAACUAUACUAUAUUUACCGAAGUAUACUAAAUCAUUUUAGUUUUAUACGGACAACACUACCUCUACUGUGAGGACAACACUAAAAAGGGAUUUUGACAGUUAGAGCGCGCGUUUUUCCCAUGCGCUUCCUUCGUGGACUGAUAAACUAUGUUUUCUUACGAUUGAUGUUAAAUUGUGUUUUAAAAGUGAAUACAAGAAGUUAUUGUGAUA
rnacentral:lncRNA from 1 species